GCUUUGCUUUAAUGGUAGUAUAUAUGUAUUUCCACUGGGGUUAAAUGUUUAGUUUGCCUUCCUCUGACUCUAUCUAUGAAAAAUUGUAAUGUCAGUGCUUGUAUACACCUCUGUAACAGUUCACUUGAAAAUAAUCAUAAACCCCUAACAAACAAAUCCUGCCCGCUUGAUACUUGUAAUGUGAAACUGGGGCUAUCUUUACUGGCUUGCUGGAAUGUGUAUAAUCUCUUCUGAUUGGUUGGGAGCCAAAUUUGAACGUGUAAACAUAGAUCCAUGCAGGACCUGAAAUGUAGUUUCAAAGCAAUGUUGGGACUUUUUAAAGUUGAAGUUUUAACAAUAUCCUGAAAUACUUUGAUGGACAUUCUUAAACAAUUAAUUAGAAUGUGGAAAUCAACAUUUUGUGUGUUAACAAGUCUCUAAAAGAGGAAAUCAGUGAUUUAUGAAGCAGCCCUUUUGGAAAUGCUUUGAACUGUUAAAAAGCGAUUUUCAAAAAAGAUUGUGUAGCAACUUACCCCUGACAACGACCUCAGAAGUGCAGUCACAGAGUAAUGGUGCUGUUAUCACUUAAAAGCAACCAUCAAAAAAGAUUGUGUAGCAACUUUCCCCUGACAACGACCACUGGCUCAGUUAAGUGCAGUCACAGAGUGAUGGUACCUCACAAGGGUCUAGUUCAGGCAAAUGAAGACCUCUAAAAGGGAUUUUCAUCUCAAUAUAAUAACUGUAAUUUCUUAAAACAUAAACUUACUUUAUUUACUGUGUUUUUAUGUCAUAUAACAGUGAUACAAUAAUGUGUGUUGUAUUUAGGGAUUUAUUUCUUAACGGGAUGUGUAAGAGUAAAUUAUUUUAUUUUAUUGACUGUCA